AGCGAACGCUGGCGGCAGGCCUAACACAUGCAAGUCGAACGAACUCUUCGGAGUUAGUGGCGGACGGGUGAGUAACACGUGGGAACGUGCCCUUAGGUUCGGAAUAACUCAGGGAAACUUGUGCUAAUACCGAAUGUGCCCUUCGGGGGAAAGAUUUAUCGCCUUUAGAGCGGCCCGCGUCUGAUUAGCUGGUUGGGGAGGUAAAGGCUCACCAAGGCGACGAUCAGUAGCUGGUCUGAGAGGAAGGUCAGCCACAUUGGGACUGAGACACGGCCCAAACUCCUACGGGAGGCAGCAGUGGGGGAUCUUGCGCAAUGGGCGAAAGCCUGACGCAGCCAUGCCGCGUGAAUGAUGAAGGUCUUAGGAUUGUAAAAUUCUUUCACCGGGGACGAUAAUGACGGUACCCGGAGAAGAAGCCCCGGCUAACUUCGUG
rnacentral:rRNA from 1 species